rnacentral:rRNA from 1 species
UUGAAAGCUGGAAUGAACGGCUAGAUGAAAAGUAAGCUGUCUUUUUCUAGUAUUAAGAAAUUAACUUUUAAGUGAAAAGGCUUAAAUUUCUUGGUGGGACGAUAAGACCCUGUAAAACUUAUAUAUUUUUUAUCGUCAAAGUGUAAAGUUUAGUUUAAUUUGUUUGUUGGGUAUCGAUAUUUUGUUGGGGAGACAAAGAUAUAAUUUGUAACUGUCUGUUUUAAUUUUAUACUUAUUAGUAUUUUAGGACCCCUUAAUAGGGACUAUAAGAUAAAGUUACUUCAGGGAUAACAGCGUAAUUUUCUUUGAGAGUUCUUAUCGACAAGAAUAGUUGCGACCUCGAUGUUGAAUUAAGGUUUCAGAAGGGUGUAGCAGCUCUUCUGGUAGGUCUGUUCGACCUUUAAAAUCUU